AAACAUCAUAGACUUUGGCUCUGCUUAAUGGAAUGGAGCAAUUCUACAUGGACUUAAAGGGCAUAAAAAUUUAAUGCACCAACCCAUACCUCCAUUCAAAAGAAGAAUAUUCGAUUAAUUCAGAGACCAAAUCAUUCUCAUCAAGCACUGUACAUGGUGACCAGACUUGCAAUCCAUUUUGAACAGGAAGCCAAUUAUCUUCCCAUAUCCAAAUGCUACUACUAUUUCCAAUCAACCACCGAGAUCCUUGAUCCACUAAUCAUCUUGUCGCAAUCAAGCUUCUCCAUGCAAAUAAUUAAACAAUAGCCAUGUUAGUAAGUAAUGUAAAAAUCUAUUUAUUGCUGU
rnacentral:misc_RNA from 1 species